rnacentral:rRNA from 1 species
AGUGAACGCUGGCGGUAGGCCUAACACAUGCAAGUCGAACGGCAGCACAGUAAGAGCUUGCUCUUACGGGUGGCGAGUGGCGGACGGGUGAGGAAUACAUCGGAAUCUACUUUUUCGUGGGGGAUAACGUAGGGAAACUUACGCUAAUACCGCAUACGACCUACGGGUGAAAGCAGGGGAUCUUCGGACCUUGCGCGAUUGAAUGAGCCGAUGUCGGAUUAGCUAGUUGGCGGGGUAAAGGCCCACCAAGGCGACGAUCCGUAGCUGGUCUGAGAGGAUGAUAGGCCAAACUGGAACUGGGACACGGUCCAGACUCCUACGGGAGGCAGCAGUGGGGAAUAUUGGACAAUGGGCGCAAGCCUGAUCCAGCCAUACCGCGUGGGUGAAGAAGGCCUUCGGGUUGUAAAGCCCUUUUGUUGGGAAAGAAAAGCAGCAGGUUAAUACCCCGCUGUUCUGACGGUACCCAAAGAAUAAGCACCGGCUAACUUCGUG